rnacentral:rRNA from 1 species
GACGAACGCUGGCGGCGUGCUUAACACAUGCAAGUCGAACGGUGAAGCGCCUUCCUUUUUGGUGGGUGUGGAUGAGUGGCGAACGGGUGAGUAACACGUGAGUAACCUGCCCCCUUCUUCUGGAUAACCGCAUGAAAGUGUGGCUAAUACGGGAUAUUCUGGGUCUGUCGCAUGAUGGGUCUGGGAAAGAUAUUGUUUCGGUGGGGGAUGGGCUCGCGGCCUAUCAGCUUGUUGGUGGGGUGAUGGCCUACCAAGGCGGUGGCGGGUAGCCGGCCUGGGAGGGUGGACGGUCACACUGGGACUGAGACACGGCCCAGACUCCUACGGGAGGCAGCAGUGGGGAAUAUUGCACAAUGGGCGCAAGCCUGAUGCAGCGACGCCGCGUGAGGGAUGGAGGCCUGCGGGUUGUGAACCUCUUUCGCCAGUGAAGCAGGCCUGCCUCGUUUGUGGGUGGGUUGACGGUAGCUGGAUAAGAAGCGCCGGCUAACUACGUG